rnacentral:rRNA from 1 species
UACGUAGGGUGCAAGCGUUGUCCGGAAUUAUUGGGCGUAAAGAGCUCGUAGGCGGUUCGUCGCGUCGGCUGUGAAAACCCGGAGCUCAACUCCGGGCCUGCAGUCGAUACGGGCGGACUUGAGUGUUGCAGGGGAGACUGGAAUUCCUGGUGUAGCGGUGAAAUGCGCAGAUAUCGGGAGGAACACCAGCGGCGAAGGCGGCACUCUGGGCUGGAACUGACGCUGAGGAGCGAAAGCGUGGGUAGCAAACAGG